AUUGAACGCUGGCGGCAGGCCUAACACAUGCAAGUCGAGCGGAGCGGCGGACGGGUGAGGAAUGCCUAGGAAUCUGCCUGGUGGUGGGGGAUCACGACCGGGAAAGGGCGCUAAUACCGACUUCUAUAAGAUGAGCUUAGGUCGGAUUGGCUAGUUGGUGGGGUAAAGGCCUACCAAGGCGACGAUCCGUAACUGGUCUGAGAGGAUGAGCAGUCACACUGGAACGGAGACACGGGCCAGACUCCUACGGGAGGCAGCAGUGGGGAAUAUUGGACAAUGGGCGAAAGCCUGAUCCAGCCAUGCCGCGUGUGUGAAGAAGGUCUUCGGAUUGUAAAGCACUUUUAGUUGGGAGGCGUUACCAACAGAAUAAGCACCGGCUAACUUCGUGCCAGCCGCCGCGGUAAUUC
rnacentral:rRNA from 1 species